GUCCAGACUCCUACGGGAGGCAGCAGUGGGGAAUAUUGCACAAUGGGGGAAACCCUGAUGCAGCCAUGCCGCGUGUGUGAAGAAGGCCUUCGGGUUGUAAAGCACUUUCAGCGAGGAGGAAAGGUUGAUGCCUAAUACGUAUCAGCUGUGACGUUACUCGCAGAAGAAGCACCGGCUAACUCCGUGCCAGCAGCCGCGGUAAUACGGAGGGUGCAAGCGUUAAUCGGAAUUACUGGGCGUAAAGCGCACGCAGGC
rnacentral:rRNA from 1 species